GUAAUAUCCAAGUGUAUUGGGGUGUGUGUGUGUGGUGGAAUUUGGGAUAUUUUAAAGCAGGUGUCAAAUGGAAUGAAAUUUUUAGGAGAUUCUUGAAGCUUUGGUGUUGUUGAUGUGUUUGUUUUGGUGUUGAUGGGGUUUGGGGAUCAAGUUUUGAGCUUUAGGAGAGUGUUUAUUUGGGAAUGAUAUUGUUAAGGGGUUCUUUAAGUUUUAUGUUGUUUAUAUGUUUGUUUUGGUGUUUUUGUGUUGUGUGUGAUUGGAUUUGGGGAUAAAGUUUGAAACUUUGGAGGUUCUUGAAGUUUUAUGUUGUUUAUGUAUUUGUUGUAGGUGUUUUUGUGGUUGAAUUCGGGGAUCGAGUUUGAAACUUUGGGAGAGUUCU
rnacentral:misc_RNA from 1 species